CUGAGGUAUGCUUGGUGUCGCGUCAGCGCACCGGUUACCCGCCCAUGUGUCAUCUGCACUGGACCCGCCCUGCCUUCGUGCGGGGAGGGGACAGGAAUAUCACUUCGGUCGAGGUGUUGUGUCGUGCCCGAGAGGGUGGACAUGACCGCGGCCGGUCGUAUUUUACACUCUUUGUGAGAACAUGAAGUCUGAAGCAAAUGAAAAUUAAGCA
rnacentral:misc_RNA from 2 species